UACAGAGGUCUCAAGCGUUGUUCGGAUUCAUUGGGCUUAAAGGGUGCGUAGGUGGCGCGAUAAGUCGGGUGUGAAAUCUCGGAGCUUAACUCCGAAAUUGCAUUCGAUACUGCCGUGCUCGAGGACUGGAGAGGAGACUGGAAUUCAUGGUGUAGCAGUGAAAUGCGUAGAGAUCAUGAGGAAGACCAGUGGCGAAGGCGGGUCUCUGGACAGUUCCUGACGCUGAGGCACGAAGGUCAGGGGAGCAAACGGG
rnacentral:rRNA from 1 species